rnacentral:rRNA from 1 species
CAGUCGCCACGGUAAUACGUAGGGCGCAAGCGUUGUCCGGAAUUAUUGGGCGUAAAGAGCUCGUAGGCGGUCUGUCGCGUCUGGUGUGAAAUCCCGAGGCUCAACCUCGGGCUUGCAUCGGGUACGGGCAGACUAGAGUGCGGUAGGGGAGACUGGAAUUCCUGGUGUAGCGGUGGAAUGCGCAGAUAUCAGGAGGAACACCGAUGGCGAAGGCAGGUCUCUGGGCCGCAACUGACGCUGAGGAGCGAAAGCAUAGGGAGCGAACAGGAUUAGAUACCCCGGUAGUCCCUGUCUCUUAUAC